UGGGGAAUAUUGGACAAUGGGGGGAACCCUGAUCCAGCCAUGCCGCGUGUGUGAAGAAGGCCUUAUGGUUGUAAAGCACUUUAAGCGAGGAGGAGGGUACUGGUAUUAAUACUACCAGGUACUGGACGUUACUCGCAGAAUAAGCACCGGCUAACUCUGUGCCAGCAGCCGCGGUAAUACAGAGGGUGCGAGCGUUAAUCGGAUUUACUGGGCGUAAAGCGCGCGUAGGUGGUUCGUUAAGUUGAAUGUGAAAGCCCCGGGCUCAACCUGGGAAAUGCAUCCAAAACUGGCGAGCUAGAGUAGGGCAGAGGGUGGUGGAAUUUCCUGUGUAGCGGUGAAAUGCGUAGAUAUAGGAAGGAACACCAGUGGCGAAGGCGACCACCUGGGCUCAUACUGACACUGAGGUGCGAAAGCGUGAGGAGCAAACAGG
rnacentral:rRNA from 1 species